ANAAACCGAAAAAAAGAGGGAUGCAACACGAAGACUUUUCUGGAGGUCAUCCAUCCUAGUACUACUCUCCCCCAAGCACGCUUAACUGUGGUGUUCUGAUAGGAUCAAGUGCAUUAGUGCUGGUAUGAUCGCAUCAGUUACUACAUGCAAUGCAAUCAUAUAUAU
rnacentral:sRNA from 1 species